AAGCUCAGUGGCCGUCGCCAUCUUAAACCAGCCAAACAAGUCUAGACAAGCAGCCACUCGCGAUUUUUCUGUCUGAUUUUCCGGCUAAAAUGAACCGUUUUAGAAGAAUAAUUCACUGCCGGUCUCCGGAACUCCGGUUUAAAUUACGGAUUCCGAUGUUUGUUGAAAAUCGAUCCCAAAUUUUUGCUUGUGCUAGCUGCAGUUCACUCGUUUCAUCCGUGACACCUGUUCUCGAGAGUUUGGAUGGACGACCUGAAAUCGAACGAAUUGAAGCAUCUGGCAGUGAGCGGAUCCCUGUCCUGUCUCCGGUAAUGCAUACGGGAGAGGAACGGGAGCGUUCCGGAACAUUCAAGAACCAACCUGAUGGGAUUGGACGAGAGCUUGUGACUUAUUGAUAAUUGAAGAAGAAACUGGUUAUGCUGUUGUAGUAGUGAAAAUGACUUGUUAAUUAGCUAUUGAAAAUAAAUGAACAGUUAUUUUUGGUUUUUCUUUUCGAAUCAAAACCAAACAUUAAA